AGAUUGAACGCUGGCGGCAUGCCUAACACAUGCAAGUCGAACGGGAGUAGCAAUACUCUAGUGGCGGACGGGUGAGGAAUACGUAGGAAUUUGCCCUUAAGUGGGGGAUAACCCGGGGAAACCCGGAUUAAUACCGCAUGACCUCGAAAGAGCAAAGUGGGGGAUCGCAAGACCUCACGCUUUUGGAGAAGCCUACGUCGGAUUAGCUAGUUGGUGAGGUAAUGGCUCACCAAGGCGACGAUCCGUAACUGGUCUGAGAGGAUGAUCAGUCACACCGGAACUGAGACACGGUCCGGACUCCUACGGGAGGCAGCAGUGGGGAAUAUUGGACAAUGGGCGCAAGCCUGAUCCAGCAAUGCCGCGUGUGUGAAGAAGGCCUUCGGGUUGUAAAGCACGUUUAAGUUAGGUAAGGAAAAAACUACGACGUACUAACGAACAGUGAGUCUUGACGUACGACAGAAUAAGCACCGGCUAACUCUGUGCCAGCAGCCGC
rnacentral:rRNA from 1 species